AAUUACGGUCAUAUCACUUUGAAUACAUUGGUUCUCGCACGAUUACCUAGGUUAAGCAACGUCGAGCUUAGGUGGUACGUAGAUACGUGAACGCUUGGGAAACCUAGGUGUUGUAAGCA
rnacentral:rRNA from 1 species